UCCGAGUUAACCCCGGCAGUCUCCCGUGAGUCCCCAACUUAAUGCUGGCAACAUGCGACGGGGGUUGCGCUCGUUGCGGGACUUAACCCAACAUCUCACGACACGAGCUGACGACAGCCAUGCACCACCUGUGACGGUGCCCCGAAGGGAGACCGUGUUUCCACGGCUGUCACCGACAUGUCAAGCCCAGGUAAGGUUCUUCGCGUUGCGUCGAAUUAAACCACAUGCUCCGCUGCUUGUGCGGGUCCCCGUCAAUUCCUUUGAGUUUUAGCCUUGCGGCCGUACUCCCCAGGCGGGACACUUAUCGCGUUGGCUUCGGCACGGACAGAUUCGACUCCGCCCACACCUAGUGUCCAUCGUUUACGGCAUGGACUAC
rnacentral:misc_RNA from 1 species